rnacentral:rRNA from 1 species
GAUGAACGCUGGCGGCGUGCCUAACACAUGCAAGUCGAGCGAACGGACGAGAAGUUUGCCUCUCUGACGUUAGCGGCGGACGGGUGAGUAACACGUGGAUAACUUACCUAUAAGACUGGGAUAACUACGGGAAACCGUAGCUAACACCGGAUAAUAUUUUGAACCGCAGGGUUCAAAGGAGAAAGACGGUCUUGCUGUCACUUAUAGAUGGAUCCGCGCUGCAUUAGCUAGUUGGUAAGGUAACGGCUUACCAAGGCUACGAUGCAUAGCCGACCUGAGAGGGUGAUCGGCCACACUGGAACUGAGACACGGUCCAGACUCCUACGGGAGGCAGCAGUAGGGAAUCUUCCGCAAUGGGCGAAAGCCUGACGGAGCAACGCCGCGUGAGUGAUGAAGGUCUUCGGAUCGUAAAGCUCUGUUAUUAGGGAAGAACAUAUGUGUAAGUAACUGUGCACAUCUUGACGGUACCUAAUCAAAAAGCCACGGCUAACUACGUG